rnacentral:rRNA from 1 species
UACAGAGGUCUCAAGCGUUGUUCGGAAUUACUGGGUUUAAAGGGUGCGUAGGCGGCUAUGUAAGUCAGGAGUGAAAGUUUGCGGCUCAACCGUAAAAUUGCUUUUGAUACUGCAUGGCUAGAAUUAGGAUGAGGUCAGCGGAAUGUGGCAUGUAGCGGUGAAAUGCAUAGAUAUGCCAUAGAACACCAAUUGCGAAGGCAGCUGGCUAGACCUGUAUUGACGCUGAGGCACGAAAGCGUGGGGAGCGAACAGG